rnacentral:rRNA from 1 species
UACGGGGGGGGCAAGCGUUGUUCGGAAUUACUGGGCGUAAAGGGCUUGUAGGUGGCCAACUAAGUCAGACGUGAAAUCCCACGGCUUAACCGAGGAACUGCGUCUGAUACUGGAUGGCUUGAGUGUGGGAGAGGGAUGCGGAAUUCCAGGUGUAGCGGUGAAAUGCGUAGAUAUCUGGAGGAACACCGGUGGCGAAGGCGGUUCUCUGGGCAUUACCUGACGCUGAGGAGCGAAAGUGUGGGGAGCGAACAGG